rnacentral:rRNA from 1 species
AUUGAACGCUGGCGGCAUGCCUUACACAUGCAAGUCGAACGGCAGCACAGUUACUUCUACCUGUUGCCGGUUGCCGGUCGCGUACGUAUUACAUCUGCACCUGUCUCUUCUUUUUGGUUAGCGCUACCGUAGCCGAACUUAUACUACAUACGCUUUCCACCUGCGAGUGAGAGCCGUUGAUCCUCCGCCCUUUCGCGUUUGCCUGUACCUGUUUCGGAUUAGCUAGUUGGCGGGGUAAAGGCCUACCAAGGCGACGAUCAGUAGCUGGUCUGAGAGGACGACCAGCCACACUGGGACUGAGACACGGCCCAGACUCCUACGGGAGGCAGCAGUGGGGAAUUUUGGACAAUGGGCGAAAGCCUGAUCCAGCAAAGCCGCGUGUGUGAAGAAGGCCUUCGGGUUGUAAAGCACUUUUGUCCGGAAAGAAAUCCUGGGCGCUAAUACAGUCGGGGGAUGACGGUACCGGAAGAAUAAGCAUCGGCUAACUACGUG